rnacentral:ncRNA from 1 species
UGCAAGUAUAUACCCUCUAUUAAACCUACUUUCCACAUAAUGUUACUCCAGCACAGGUGUGAUUAAAGGAAAGAUGAAAAUAAGAGGAACUCGACAAACACGAACCCGUCCUGUUUACCAAAAACAUCACCUCAGGCAUUACAAGUAUUAGAGGCAAUGCCUGCCAAGUGUCUGAGUUAACGGCCACCCUAUCCUGACCGUGCAAAGGCAGCAUAAUCACCUGUUCCUUAAUUAGGGACUAGAAUGAACGACUAAAUGAGGAUUCAACCGUCUCUUAUUUCUAAUCAGUGAAAUUGACCUUCCUGUGAAGAGGUAGGAAUUCAACAAGAAGAUGAGAAGACCCUACAGAGCUUUAAUCUCAUAGCUUAAUCUUUUAAAUACAUUACUUAUUGACCCUAACAAUAUAAACUAUAUAUCUUGGUGGGGGUGACCUCGGAGAAUAAAAAAAAAAAAACAACUCUGAAUGAUUACAGCUCAGACCCACAAGUUAAAACACCCAAAAUCUUAUUGACCCAAAACAUUUUUGAUCAAUGGGCCAGGUUACCCUAGGGAUGACAGCGCAAUCCUAUUCAAGAGUCCAUAUCGACAAUUAGGGUUUACGACCUCGAUGUUGGAUCAGGACAUCACCAUGUUGCAGCAGUUAUUAAAGGUUCGUUUGUUCAGUGAUUAAGGUCCUACGUGAUCUGAUCUGAGUUCAGACUGGAGUAAUCCAGGUCUGUUUCUAACUCUUAACGAUUUCUCCCAGUAUGAAAGGACAAGAGAAAUAGAGCCCCCUUAACAUAAGCGCCACAAACCAAUUAAUGAAAUCAUCUUAAUAUAGUAAGUUCGUACAAAACCACCCUACACAAGGGUUUAUUAGGGUGGCAGAGCUCGGAAAUUGCGUGAGACUUCAAACCUUGUUCUCAGAGAUU